GGGGAUGAUCGGUUUCGACGGUAAUGAAGGCCGAAGAGAAGCGGGUAGAGGAUGUACAGUCAUCUCUUUAACGAUUCUGUACGAAAAUUAGUUGCAAACAAGCAGCAUAACGACUUCGCCCUCGCUGCCUAAGCGCGAGCGCAUUUAAAGGAGUCCGUCAGCCUUACGUAGCUUUCGCGUAAGUGAACUGGCGUCGUUUUUAUGGAAGCCACUGCGCUGCAGAUUUGUUCGUGAUUUGCAGUGAACUUUUAGCGAACUAGGUUUGUCAGCAACUUGUUUGCGUGAGUGCUGGAGCCAAAAACAACGUUUAGCAGACUGCACCCGGAGAAGUCUUGGGUAUUGCAUUAUCGGACCAGGGUUCGAUUCCCUGCAUCUCCACCA
rnacentral:tmRNA from 1 species